GUAGAACUAUAGUUAAUAGCCUUGGGCGGACAAUUUUUUUUUCUCUGAAUGGUGGCAUUGUUUUUUAGCAGCAUUUUUCAAUAAGGUGACAAUGCACUAGAAUACUAAUGGUUGGUGUGCUCUUUCAAGUUAUCCAUUCUACAUAUCUUUCCCUGCAAAAACAGUACAAUGAUGCCGCACAAUCAAUGUCAACAUUUUUCAGCGAUAAUGUUAUGAUAAGUAAAAGAUGGUUGAAGUCACCCACUCCAGACCAGUCAGUAAGAAGAAACAAGGCACGCCUACUGAAAUCACUCAACCAACUGAAGAAACAGAAUGAGAUUUGGAUUAUAGGGUUUCAGAUAAUACCAAGUCCCUUCUGAAAGCCACUGGAAAUGUGGAGUGUCUUCAUCAUUUUCAGAAACUUGUAGACAGCAUCAUGCAAGGACGUGUUGAAAACUGAGAUAAUCAAGCAUACCUCAAAGAUUUCAGUUUCUGACCUCUGGGCUACUUGCAGACUAGCUUUCAUCUGAGAGUAAUGAAAAUAUGGAUUACGGACAUUACCUUUUAAUUAACUGGUGGCAAAUACGUGGAAUUACAAGCUGCUUUAGAGAGUUCUUUUUUCACCCCAGCUGGCUGGACGGUGACGAUUUGAGGAGCUACACAAUAAUUGCUGUCUUUUCAAGAAGAUGAAGUAAUGGAUUUCAUAACUACAGGCUGGAAAGACAGCACCCAGGCUUCCUAGGUGUAUGAGAUUGUCUCUUGUGCCAUAAUUAAAAAAUGUUUGAUGCACUCCAACUUCAGUGUAUUUCUUUCUGACUUGUUAUGAAAUUUAGAACUGUGCAUCUGUCUGGUUACUGGUAUUAAAAAUAGUGCGAAACUGCUUACCUAGUCUUAUUUCACUUUCCAUUCUUCAGAUUAUUUACUGAUAAGUUAAUUUUUCCCACUUUUGUUUCUCCAACAUCGCAUUUUAUUAAUGGAAAAAAAAAAUAUAGCUGUUAUUUGGUGUACUAAUAUUACUAAAAGAAACUCUUAUAAAAUGCAACUGUUCAGAGUUAUUUUUUAAGUACAAUUGAGUUAUUUCAGUUUAUAGAUAAUAACAGGUUAAUACACUGGAAAUUAAAAUCCACUUGCCAGCUGGUGACCUUGUAUAGUAAUUAAAAUAAUACUUGCUAUAACAACAUGAAUAAUUGUAUGUUUAAAUACGGAUUUUCACAAUUUCCUUUCCUUUGUUUAUGCCUCAGGUAAACAUUUCAUAAAUGGGAAGGUUGAUUUAUAAUCUGCUUCUGAUGUGUGAAUCAGUAAAUCUUAUGAAUCAGUUUCUCUUCAAAGACAGCACUUGAAUUCGCAAGGAUUUCAUGAAAAGCACUUCCCAUUUUUCUCACUAAAAAUAUAUAGCUUGAUGCCAAUUAAAAUUCAGUGCACAGUGUAUCCAGUAACCCUGAUAAUCAGUAAAAACAUGUCAGAGAGCAAGAUGGUUUCUGCAACUGAAUGGAAAUUUCAACAAGCAGUUAACCUACAAUAGGAAGAAACUCAUUACUGGGAUAGCUUGCUGCCUUACAGCACUUGAAAAGCUGAUUAAAGAAAUAAUGAUGUGAAACUAUACAAAAUCCCAGCAAAAGCAGUAGGAAUGGUAAUGACAGAUGUUUCACUUUGCACCAAUACUUAUUUUGGCUCAGAACGACAACAAAAAAAAAUCUAUCGGACAUUUACAUGUCACAUUAACACACAAGAAUGACAAUCUCUUCCCCAAAA